CACGUAGGGACCAAGCGUUGUCCGGAUUCAUUGGGCGUAAAGAGCUCGUAGGCGGUUCGAUAAGUCGGGUGUGAAACCUCCAGGCUCAACCUGGAGACGCCACCCGAUACUGUCGUGACUAGAGUCCAGUAGGGGAGCGUGGAAUUCCUGGUGUAGCGGUGAAAUGCACAGAUAUCUGGAGGAACACCAGCGGCGAAGGCGGCGAUCUGGGCCUGUACUGACACUGAGGAGCGAAAGCGUGGGGAGCGAACAGG
rnacentral:rRNA from 1 species